GCUAGAUUCUGGAUGAAAGGAAGUGAUUAACCUUCAGCAAGCCUGUCCUGCAGAACUAAAAUGUUGGCAAUUUUCUGCUCUUUGUUCUUGCAUGCUGGUGAGGAAGUUGGGAGGAGACACAGCUGGGACAGGUGACCCAAACUGACCAAAGGGAUUUCCAGGCCAUGUGACAUCAUGCUCAGGACAUAAAGUGGGCGAAGAAGGAGGGAAGCUGGGACAUUUGGAGUGAUGAUGUUCGUCUGCCUAGGUCUGUCAGUUCCUCAGGUGACCAGGAACCUGAUCUCUUCAGAAAGGAAGCACUUCUCUCGUCCAGUCCUGACCUUGCUUUCCAUCCACUCAAGAGGCGUGGGAAGAGAGACUGACAAUGAAAAAAGUUGCUGAGUAUCUCAGCCUCGUCUCACCUGUUGUUUCUGGUUUUCUAGUCAUCUCAU